rnacentral:rRNA from 1 species
AAUAGAUACCCGGGUAGUCCACGCCGUAAACGAUGGAUACUAGCUGUUUGAGCGCAAGUUUGAGUGGCUAAGCGAAAGUGAUAAGUAUCCCACCUGGGGAGUACGGGCGCAAGCCUGAAACUCAAAGGAAUUGACGGGGGGCCCGCACAAGCGGUGGAGCAUGUGGUUUAAUUCGAUGAUACGCGAGGAACCUUACCAGGGCUUAAAUGUAGAUUGACGUAUUUGGAAACAGAUAUUUCUUCGGACAAUUUACAAGGUGCUGCAUGGUUGUCGUCAGCUCGUGCCGUGAGGUGUCAGGUUAAGUCCUAUAACGAGCGCAACCCCUGUUGUUAGUUGCCAGCGAGUAAUGUCGGGAACUCUAGCAAGACUGCCAGUGUAAACUGUGAGGAAGGUGGGGAUGACGUCAAAUCAUCACGGCCCUUACGUCCUGGGCCACACACGUGCUACAAUGGCCGGUACAGAGAGCAGCCACUUAGCGAUAAGGAGCGAAUCUAUAAAGCCGGUCACAGUUCGGAUCGGAGU